GAAAACCAAAAAACCUAAAAUCUCUAGCAGCCGAAAACAACCACAAUCAACAGCAACAAAAAAUCAAAACAAACACGAAAAAAAAAACAAAAAAGAAAACUAGUUAGAUCUGAGAAAUGACUGAGAGGGGGGUUCAAGGGUAAAGAAAAAGUUUUUUUUGGGUAGUGGGUGAGAAGAGAGGGAGUUGACCUGUGUAGGUGUUCGG
rnacentral:lncRNA from 1 species